UUGUAUACUUUUAUCAGUAUCUAAAAGCAGAAGGAAAGGGGUAGACAAACCACAGACGCUUUCUUACAGUUUAAGGCCACUAUAAAAGGUGGAAAUACCAGUUGCAUAAAAAGGGAAGCCAGCGUAGGUCAACCACGCCAGAACAUACUGAAGAUCAGAGGCACAGCUGUCACUAUGAAGAUACUUGGCCCUCUCACACUCCUCAUUCUGAUGUGCUUUGUGUCUGCGGGCUUACUCAGCCAGGAGUUCUUGUUGAAGGAAGGAUGCUGUCUAAAGAGCUCACAAAAACUAAUCCCGAAGGAAAGGGUGAAACACGUGGCGAUGACACCAGAUGGCUGCCCACACAAAGCUAUUGUGGUCACAACGGUGUGUGAUACAAGAUUUUGCCUCAAAGUCAAUUGGAAGUGGGCAAAAAAUAUAUUGGGAGAUUUUGAGACCGUUUCUGCCAACAAAACAUCUGUACCUGCCCCUUUCAAUCAGACCACCUGUGAAAACUAUGUUGAAGUGAUAUGAGGAGAGAGUUCCUGUAUGUGAAAUAAUGACCUGCCUCUCAAGCUUUAAGAACGCAGUAUUUUGUUAUUGUCUGAGUUAUUUUUACAUUUGUGAUGUUAUGUUUUAAUUUGAUUUCUUCUACUUAUAUUUUUGUAUUUGAACUUUGAAGUCCCUAUGUUGUAAAUACUGUAUGUGUGUAUUAUGUGUAUAAUAUCUUUGUAGUUACUGCGUUAUUAUAAGUCAAUAAAAUCAAUUGUCACAA